AGCUUUGCGCAGGGGCACUAUAGUAGCCAAUGAAGUUUAUCCGAGGCACGAUUAUUGCUAAUUGAAAACUUUUCCUUUUCCCACUUCUCUCUGUCUUCUUUUCUCUGAAAGUAUAAAACCUGAUGUAAUUUCUGGUGUUUGAAAGUAAU
rfam:Ailuropoda melanoleuca scaffold4746_5, whole genome shotgun sequence.